UACGUAGGUGGCGAGCGUUGUCCGGAUUUACUGGGCGUAAAGGGCUUGUAGGCGGUCCGUUAAGUCCGAUGUGAAAUCUCCCGGCUCAACUGGGAGAGGUCAUUGGAUACUGGCGGACUAGAGGGGGGGUAGAGGAAAGCAGAAUUCCUGGUGUAGCGGUGAAAUGCGUAGAUAUCAGGAGGAAUACCAGUGGCGAAGGCGGCUUUCUGGGCCUACCCUGACGCUGAGGAGCGAAAGCGUGGGGAGCAAACCGG
rnacentral:rRNA from 1 species